GCUCCCAGAGACCUGGGGAAAGAAGAAAGGGAAGCUCAGAUCUUGUCUCAGCUAGGAGAGGUUGUAUGUGUGUGUGUGUGUGUCCGCACAGGUGGUGAGACUGGAUGGCCUCUGGAGCUUUUAGCUGUGCUCCCAGGUCCCAACUCUACCCGGUGCACUUCAGGAAUCCAGCAGAGAUCUGCCAGCCCAUCCAGGGACCCUUGGGUCCGAGGAGAGGCCCAGCUAGUGGGUUAUCCUGGCAUUCAGUACAGAGUGAGUCUGCUGUGCUCCUCUUGAGGAGUAAGCAGCUUUAUAAUCCAAGAGGCUCUGCAACCCAGUUUCUCUUUCAUUCCUGGGGGUGGGGAAGAGACUACCCUCUGUGAGGGGAAGCUGGGAAGAGACAAAAGGAAUUGGAGAAAGAGCCAGCCAACUCAUUAGGAAACAAGAAGGAGACAAUGAACCUCUUAAAAGAAAAGAAAGCCAGCACCUAGAAGUCCCUGGCUCAUGGGUUUCCCGGAGAGGUGGCAUUCCUGGAUGAUGGGGUACAGAGAGCUCUGAGUUUAACUUUCAAUGAAGCGACGCAAACUCAAACCUAGGAAGAAUUAUCCACCUGAGAAUUGCUGGAAUAUUGGUGAAAUAUCACUUCUUGCUAUUUAAUUCAUUCAUCGGGGACUGAAAAGACAUCUCUUGUGGCUGAUUUAGGUCAGGGGUGUCCAACCUAUUUUUGUAUGAAGAGCACAUUUUAAUCUCAAAAAAUUUAUAGACCUGCAGAUAAAGAUACUUACACUUUAGGAAAGCAUUGGUAGAGCAAACACUUAAUAACAGAGGCUAUCACCUUUAAGGGAAUUUGAAUGCUAUUAAUCACCACCUUAUCUGUAUAUUAUCCCAAAUCUGAGUUAUUGCUUUCCUUCUGUGCUU